CGGGUAUCAGAGGACCAUCACUCGGCAAAGUUUCAGUGCAUGCCGUUGAUGUAGACGGCGUGAAAACGGAAACAAGAAGUAUGCCGGCUCACUGUGCUGCAUACAGUUACACACUACGUCGUACGAUUGAGACAAGGAAACUUGGAAUGACUUUUCAUAGGUUUCCCAGAGACUAUGGGUUGAGGAGGAAUUGGAAGUUUGUCGGCUUAGACCUGUGUCAUUCCAUCAGUGUUAAACUUCCCGGCUCAUUUUGGAAGAGUACGUGCCAGAAAGACCACGACCAAGCAGCCUUGAGAUCUUAGGCAGCGUCUCCCUGAGGUCCCUCUCUAUCUCCCCACACAUCCACCAACCACUGGAACACAUCUCCAAAGUUCUGCCGGGCCAGCUCAGCUUCCCCUCAGAAGAAGUGCUGCCACCUGCCAGAUGAAGGAGCCUUUUGAGAGGCAGCUGGCAUCGUGAUUGGACUGUACUUUGGUCUGUUCCAAUCCAGCUUCAGCUCCAGAGACGGCAGGCGGGACGAGUCAACGGAGGCCUGGUGGACGAAGACUAAAGAACUACAGACUCUUCACAACCUGC
ensembl:lncRNA